rnacentral:rRNA from 1 species
AUUGAACGCUGGCGGCAGGCCUAACACAUGCAAGUCGAGCGAGCGGCGGACGGGUGAGUAAUGUAUGGGGAUCUACCCUAUAGAGGGGGAUAACGACUGGAAACUGUGGCUAAUACCGCAUACGAUCGAAUGAACCGAUGUGGGAUUAGCUAGUUGGUGGGGUAAAGGCCCACCAAGGCGACGAUCCCUAGCUGGUCUGAGAGGAUGAUCAGCCACACUGGAACUGAGACACGGUCCAGACUCCUACGGGAGGCAGCAGUGGGGAAUAUUGCACAAUGGGCGCAAGCCUGAUGCAGCCAUGCCGCGUGUAUGAAGAAGGCCUUCGGGUUGUAAAGUACUUUCAUUGGGAAGGCGGUACCCGAAGAAGAAGCACCGGCUAACUCCGUGCCAGCAGCCGCGGUAAUUC